CUACGGGUGGCUCCAGUGAGGAAUAUUGCACAAUGGGGGGAACCCUGAUGCAGCAACGCCGCGUGGAGGAUGACGCAUUUCGGUGUGUAAACUCCUUUUAUAUGUCAGGAAAAUGACGGUAGCAUAUGAAUAAGCACCGGCUAACUCCGUGCCAGCAGCCGCGGUAAUAGGAGGGUGCAAGCGUUACUCGGAAUCACUGGGCGUAAAGGACGCGUAGGCGGGUUGGAAAGUCAGGUGUGAAAUCCUACAGCUUAACUGUAGAACUGCACUUGAAACUUCUAAUCUAGAGUAUGGGAGGGGGAGAUGGAAUUAGUGGUGUAGGGGUAAAAUCCGUAGAUAUCACUAGGAAUACCUAAAGCGAAGGCGAUCUCCUGGAACAUUACUGACGCUAAGGCGUGAAAGCGUGGGGAGCAAACAGGAUUAGAUACCCCAGUAGUC
rnacentral:rRNA from 1 species